rnacentral:rRNA from 1 species
UUUGAGGCAAUAACAGGUCUGUGAUGCCCUUAGACGUUCUGGGCCGCACGCGCGCUACACUGACGGAGCCAGCGAGUCUAACCUUGGCCGAGAGGUCUUGGGUAAUCUUGUGAAACUCCGUCGUGCUGGGGAUAGAGCCUUGUAAUUGUUGCUCUUGAACGAGGAAUUCCUAGUAAGCGCAAGUCAUCAGCUUGCGUUGAUUACGU